GCUGAGGACCAGAGCUGAUGCAAAAGCUGCAAGGCGAGCCCAUGGAGAAAAUGGGAAUUUGGAGCCGAAGCUGCAGACUUCGACGAAGUCGUUACCCUACUACAAAUCCAUCCCUUCUGUUUGACAAACUUAUAACAAAAAGUUGUGUUGCCAAAAAUGGAUGAAAUGGAGAAGGUCCAUAGAUGCCAAAUCCUGAAUUUGGAAGACGUUGAGGUAUCUUUUAAGAGUGGAGGAAGUAUCUUCUGCAGAAGACGUGAGAUAACAGGGAGAUGCUGGAAUGCACGUCUUCUAUUCCAGUUUCUGAAUU